CCCUUAGAUGUUCUGGGCCGCACGCGCGCUACACUGAUGCAUUCAACAAGCCUAGCCUUGACCGAGAGGUCCGGGUAAUCUUUGAAACUGCAUCGUGAUGGGGCUAGAUUAUUGCAAUUAUUAAUCUUCAACGAGGAAUGCCUAGUAAGCGUGAUUCAUCAAAUCGCGUUGAUUACGUCCCUGCCCUUUGUACACACCGCCCGUCGCUCCUACCGAUUGAAUGUGUUGGUGAGGAGCUCGGAUUGGCAGCAGUUGGUGGUUCGCCACCGGCUAUUGCUGAGAAGUCCUCCAAACCGCCCCAUUUAGAGGAGGGAGAANUCGUANCA
rnacentral:rRNA from 1 species